GUUAUAAACCUCUCUUAGAAGAUAGUAAUGAUGAAGAUGAAGAAAAUCAACAGCCUGAUGAAGAAGAGAUAGCUCAAACUAGUUCAAAUUUUGAUCAACCUAAUCGAUUGAAUACGCAUGAAAUGAAACCUUAUAAUCCUUUAAAUGCAUCUACUCCGGUGGUUACUAAGCGAUCCGAUAAAUUAUUUAAUUCACAAAAUGGUAGUGAAGAUGAUAGUGAUGUUGAUAAAGAGGUAGAAAGGAAUUUGAUGGCUCAAGUUUUGAAAGAUACUGAAUUAAGUUUUCAAUGUAAUCGUCGUCAUCAAGAUCCUUUUGGAUGCAUGCCUUUUAACCAGGAUACAUCACAAUUAUACUCGAGCUUGGAUCGAAAACUGGUAAACGUUUCAGGUCCCACCAUCAUAUCGAUUAACCAAAACAGCUCCUCUCAACUUGCACCAUCAUCGACAUCAUCUUUACCAACCGGAGCUCCACCGCCCAUACCACCACAUCAACAACAAUGUACACCCAAAGUAGUUUCCAUUGAGGGUACGUCUGUUGUACCUCGCUCCAGACCAAAAGUGACUUCAAUAUCUAUUAAUAAUGCCUCUUCUAUACCUGUUUUGAC
rnacentral:lncRNA from 1 species